rnacentral:rRNA from 1 species
AUUGAACGCUGGCGGAAUGCUUUACACAUGCAAGUCGAACGGCGGCACGGGGGCAACCCUGGUGGCGAGUGGCGAACGGGUGAGUAAUACAUCGGAACGUGCCCGGUCGUGGGGGAUAACGUAGCGAAAGUUACGCUAAUACCGCAUACGAUCUGAGGAUGAAAGCGGGGGACCUUCGGGCCUCGCGCGAUCGGAGCGGCCGAUGUCAGAUUAGGUAGUUGGUGGGGUAAAGGCCUACCAAGCCGACGAUCUGUAGCUGGUCUGAGAGGACGACCAGCCACACUGGGACUGAGACACGGCCCAGACUCCUACGGGAGGCAGCAGUGGGGAAUUUUGGACAAUGGGCGCAAGCCUGAUCCAGCCAUUCCGCGCGCAGGACGAAGGCCUUCGGGUUGUAAACUGCUUUUGUAUGGAACGAAAAGGCUCUGGCUAAUACCUGGGGCUCAUGACGGUACCGUAAGAAUAAGCACCGGCUAACUACGUG